CUUUGAUUCGAUCGAAAAAGGCCAUGAGUUAGAAGAUUUCCGUCACAUUGAGUAACAUUUACAGUGCCACGAAUACCAAGUAGUGAAGAAAGGAAUGUAUUCGGACUAAGAAAAAUAAACAGAAGCGCACACGCUCCAAGUUCGAUCGUCACGCUCAAAGGAAUAUUUUGCUUGCGUUCUGUGGCAUUUUUUGCUUAUUUACUGUGGCUUCAUGUCCUGUUGGCACUAAGGAUAUUCCUGCUAAUACCAUGAGUACAACCCCUAGUCCUCAGCAGAAAGUACAACGAUACCUGGACGAAGUGGUAGCCUUGUCAAAUUUUAAUGUCGGAAUAAUUGUUAUGAAAAACAUGUCGAAGCCUCUGCCGCACUUUCCGGUUGACGUUAGGCCAUCUGAUAUUGUUAUCAGGAAACCACAAGGGGAAAACUUAACUUUACAAUGCCAUUCUAAUGGAUCUAGUCAGCUGCCGCCGCACCCUCUUAUUCGCUUCAACGGCAAGCUGUUAAAUUUCGCGCAUCCCAUCUUGAGCAACUGGCGGGAAAAAAAUUAUCGCUGCUGCAGCCCGGAAUCACGCUAUAAAAAAACCCCCGGCAGACAGUAUGCGAGUCAUCAUGCCCGAGAAUUAUAAUGCAACUGGGUACUACCAAAUUAUGUUGACGGAUUUUUCGCAUGCCCACGCGGGUACAUACGAAUGCCUGGGCGUCAAUGGCAGUGAGAGUUAUGUUAACCAGCGCUUUGUAAUCAGUCCGCGUUUGUUUCCCAAUCAGGUACUCGAUCCACCGAUGGCCAAUGUUACCCCCAAAGUUUGGGAAGAAGCUAGCCUCGUAUGUUCAGUAAGAUUCAGUAGCAGUCCGCUGCAGUACCGGGCAUAUGGCAGGCGGUUUAUUUGGCGCAAAGAUCAGCAUUUGCUAUUUGCCGCUGUUAUACCAUCGUUUAAGGCUGAGGCCGGUGGCUCUGUCAACAGCGGAACUUCUGCGGAUUGCCAUUGUGAUUCCGAGUUGGUACUUGACAAGGUCACCAAAGGCGAUGCUGGACGGUACCAAUGCUUUUUUAA